CUCAGGCAGCCGGAUAAGUAAGCUGCGGCUCUCACUCUCCACGCUGCCGCGCAUUUCAGCCGAUGUCGCUUAAACCCGCUUCAAAGGAGUCUGGAGAGCACCAGUGCUCUUUAUGCUCACAAUUCAGGGUGCAGUACCGAAUGCUUGGAUUGUCCUGCUGUGACAGAGACCGUCAUCCCCAGAAACAGAAGACAGUGACGUAGACUGUCACUCAGGAAGUGAACGACAUCUCAGCCCGGCACACCUCCUCCAUGCUUGCAGAACAGCAGCUAUCCGUUCCUGAUCUCUGGGGCUCGCACCUGCUGAAGAGUUGAGAGGCAGGAGCUGCCACCUGGUGGGAAUGCCUUCCUGCUGUGGGGAUGGAGCUGCAGGGAUGUGGGCCUGUCCUCUUUUAAACCUGAUUUGAUGGAAUAUGAUGCUGAACUGGAAAGAACAGAUGAAGAGAUGUGAAAACAGAUUGGUAUCCACCGUGGAUCACACUCACCAUUCUUGAAUGGGAACCAAAUGUUAAUGUACCAGC